rnacentral:rRNA from 1 species
CUACGGGAUGCUCCAGUCGAGAAUCAUUCGCAAUGGGCGCAAGCCUGACGAUGCGACGCUGCGUGAGUGACGAAGGCCUUCGGGUCGUAAAGCUCUUUCGCCAGGGAACAAGGGAAGAUGGCUAAUAUCCAUUUGACUUGAGUGUACCUAGUAAAGAAGCACCGGCUAACUCCGUGCCAGCAGCUGCGGUAAUACGGAGGGUGCAAGCGUUAAUCGGAUUUAUUGGGCGUAAAGGGGGCGUAGGCGGAAAAAUAAGUCAGAUGUGAAAUUUCGAGGCUCAACCUCGGAGCUACAUUUGAAACUAUUUUUCUAGAGGUUAGGCGGAGAAAACGGAAUUCCACAAGUAGCGGUGAAAUGCGUAGAGAUGUGGAAGAACACCCGUGGCGAAGGCAGUUUUCUAGCUUAGUCCUGACGCUGAGGCCCGAAAGCUAGGGGAGCGAACAGGAUUAGAUACCCGUGUAGUC